ACCCUCCAGAGUUCAUCCCCGUCAGACAUGACCUGGUCUGAGUGGUGAUUACAGGAGGGAAAGUAACAGUGAAACUGACUGAAGGAAAAAUAACGUGGCUCACUUUAUUUCCCGGGCCCAAGACAGC
rnacentral:snoRNA from 1 species